UGGGGAAUUCUCUGUGUUCCAAGAGGCCAAACAGACAUGGCCACUCAACCCUAUGGAAUGUCUUCUCUGCAUCCAGCGACAGGGGCAAGGAAAGCUAUUGUUGAUCUUUGCCCUCCAUGCUAAGUCAACUAACCUCCUUGUGUUCUCAUAUAAUUGUACAUUCGGAAUGAAUCCCACCUGUUCGGGGUGAAUCAUACUAAGAAGGAGCUGGAACAGUUGUCCUGUCAGUACCUUGGGCAAGAUCUUGAUUUCUACAGUGAUCAAGGU